rnacentral:rRNA from 1 species
GGACGAACGCUGGCGGCGUGCUUAACACAUGCAAGUCGAGGGAGAACUCGAGUGGGGUAACCCACUCGGGGGGAGACCGGCGAACGGGUGAGUAACACGUGGGCAACCUGCCCCAGACUCUGGGAUAACUCCGGGAAACCGGGGCUAAUACCGGAUACUCUCGGACCCCCGCAUGAGGGACCGAGGAAAGCUCCGGCGGUCUGGGAUGGGCCCGCGGCCUAUCGGCUUGUUGGUGGGGUAAUGGCCUACCAAGGCUUCGACGGGUAGUUGGCGUGAGAGCGUGGCCAACCACACUGGGACUGAGACACGGCCCAGACUCCUACGGGAGGCAGCAGUGGGGAAUCUUGCGCAAUGGGCGAAAGCCUGACGCAGCGACGCCGCGUGCGGGAUGAAGGCCUUCGGGUUGUAAACCGCUUUCGGGGGGGACGAAGCGAAAGUGACGGUACCCCCAGAAGAAGCCCCGGCUAACUACGUGCCAGCAGCCGCGGUAAGACGUAGGGGGCAAGCGUUGUCCGGAUUUAUUGGGCGUAAAGCGCGCGCAGGCGGCCGGCAAAGUCGGAUGUGAAAAUCCGGGGCUCAACCCCGGACCUGCAUCCGAUACUGGUCGGCUAGAGGCAGGUAGGGGAGAUCGGAAUUCCUGGUGUAGCGGUGAAAUGCGCAGAUAUCAGGAGGAACACCGGUGGCGAAGGCGGAUCUCUGGGCCUGUUCUGACGCUCAGGCGCGAAAGCUAGGGGAGCGAACAGGAUUAGAUACCCUGGUAGUCCUAGCCGUAAACGAUGGGUGCUAGGUGUGGGGGGUAUUGACCCCCUCCGUGCCGCAGCUAACGCAUUAAGCACCCCGCCUGGGGAGUACGGCCGCAAGGCUAAAACUCAAAGGAAUUGACGGGGGCCCGCACAAGCGGCGGAGCAUGUGGCUUAAUUCGACGCAACGCGAAGAACCUUACCAGGGCUUGACAUACAGGGAAAUCCGGCAGAGAUGUCGGGUCCGCAAGGGUCCUGUACAGGUGGUGCAUGGUUGUCGUCAGCUCGUGUCGUGAGAUGUUGGGUUAAGUCCCGCAACGAGCGCAACCCUCGUCCCAUGUUGCCAGCGGGUAACGCCGGGGACUCAUGGGAGACUGCCGGGGUCAACUCGGAGGAAGGUGGGGAUGACGUCAAGUCAUCAUGCCCCUUAUGUCCUGGGCUGCACACAUGCUACAAUGGCCGGUACAAAGGGCUGCUAAGCCGCAAGGUGGAGCGAAUCCCAAAAAGCCGGUCUCAGUUCGGAUUGGGGUCUGCAACUCGGCCCCAUGAAGUCGGAGUCGCUAGUAAUCGCAGAUCAGCAACGCUGCGGUGAUACAAUCCCGGGCAUGUACUCACCGCCCGU